rnacentral:lncRNA from 1 species
CACAUGUGCAACAAUAGUUGUUAUUCAGAGGAAUGAUCUGAAGCACUGCAGGUGUCACAAGCAAUAAAUAAAAAUGUUGCUUUAGUCCGUAUUUUACUUAUUAAGGCAGAAAGUCGAAGAAAUGCAGUUGGAAAGAGUAUCCAGCCCAAAGGUGGAAACAGAAAGAUGCCUCAAUGAAUGGUCACUGACCUUGAAAAUGGACAGUUAUGGAAGUCUAAGCUCCAACGAGCCAAGGGCAGUGCCUCUCUCCUUCACCAGAGUAAAUCCAGUGCCUCAGACUAUAAUAGGUAUUCAGUUAAGCCUUGCUGGUGAAUGAGAACUAAAAUAAACUUAAACAUAGUAUUUGGUCAAAAAGGCUUCAAUAGUUUACAUAGUCACUCCUUUAUCAUAUGUGUGAUAGAACCUGUUGUUAGUCACAUUGUAGUUAAUAAUCUUUAAUACAUCAAGAGAGAAUAAUUCAUAAAAAUAAGCACAACAAGCAUUAAUGAAACAUAUGUGUCUGCGUAAGAAAUACUGGCAAAAUGAAAUGCAUAGAUGAAAAUCUAUUUUACUUUUGGCAGUGCGAAAGGGUUUUUCUCUGACUGGGACACACAUGGGACUAAAAAUAAGAAUGCCUUUUAUUGCCAGAAUACUUGACAAUUUACAAAAUGCUUGAGCACAUGUGAUCAUAUUUGAUCCUCACAAGAUAGAGGAAUGUCGUUAAAGGAAAUUAUAUGCAUCACUCUUUUAUAAGAAAAUAUCUGUGGCUCAUGAAAUAGAACAGCUUUCAAAAAGAUUUCUCAUCCAUCAUUACUAACAGUAACAAUCCAACUACUGGCACAGAAGGAGAUAGGAAAGAUGAGCUCCGCCAUAAAGAAAAAUGGAGAGGAGGAUACCUAUAAUGGCAACUUGCAUUUACCGUGAUGAAGACAGACUUCUAUUAUUCAACCUGGGGCAGUUAUAGAAUACUAUCCGAAGAGCUAAGUAAUGAGAUGCCGGAAGUGAGUAAUGAGAAGCAACCUUUGAAAGUCAAGUUUCAGCUCACUGAAGAGGAAUUAUUACCAUACUUAGCACUUCUAUUGCACUGUAUUGAUUGCAGUGCACUUCAAGGACAUAUGCUUCUCACUCUUACUUCCUCGCUAUCCAAGAGUGUUGUCACUGGAUAUCCUGCUGAAGAGUUUGGUGAGUUAUUCUGGAAACCUACAUAA